rnacentral:rRNA from 1 species
AGUGAACGCUGGCGGUAGGCCUAACACAUGCAAGUCGAACGGCAGCACAGUAAGAGCUUGCUCUUACGGGUGGCGAGUGGCGGACGGGUGAGGAAUACAUCGGAAUCUACUUUUUCGUGGGGGAUAACGUAGGGAAACUUACGCUAAUACCGCAUACGACCUACGGGUGAAAGCAGGGGAUCUUCGGACCUUGCGCGAUUGAAUGAGCCGAUGUCGGAUUAGCUAGUUGGCGGGGUAAAGGCCCACCAAGGCGACGAUCCGUAGCUGGUCUGAGAGGAUGACAGCCCACACUGGAAUUGGGACACGGUCCGACCUCCUCGGGGGGCAGCAGUGGGGAAUAUUGGACAAUGGGCGCAAGCCUGAUCCAGCCAUACCGCGUGGGUGAAGAAGGCCUUCGGGUUGUAAAGCCCUUUUGUUGGGAAAGAAAAGCAGCAGGUUAAUACCCCGCUGUUCUGACGGUACCCAAAGAAUAAGCACCGGCUAACUUCGUG